ACAACGAUCAUCGACGUCCAACUCCUGGCCCUGCACAAGACCACCCCAAGACCAUGACAGGACCACUUCACUGGAGACCUACCAAUUUCUCUGCUCCAGCCUUUGGAAACGGGAACCGAUUCAUGUCUCUGGCUUUCCCAAACUGGAUGCUCCUGAUUUCCAACAAACCUGGAGGAAGUCCACCUAUCUCACAUCCUUGUCCAAGAAAGGAGACACUACAAAACAAGCAGCACCCUGCUAAAGAAGCCUCCCGGAUGCAGAUGGUGGCAUGCACUGCCACAAAGGAGCAGCAGCGUUGCUGAAGAUGGUACAACACGGUACACACACAGUUCUUCACGUCCCAGGAAUAACAAGCUGUGACAAAGUUAGUGGAAGCUUGAACAAUGGUUCUUGACAGUGGAAUAACACCUUAAACUUCUCAAGGGCAUGCCAGACUCACAGCGCUAGCGGAUGAAGAUGGCUACAGAGGGAAAAUUGUUUUAACACCAGAAGAACCACAGAGCCUGUAUCAGCUCCUCAGACAAGAUAAAUCAACACAGCCACUGACCUGAUUUCAGUGGCACUAAGCUAAUUUGCAUCAGCUGAGCAGUGGACCCAUUAUCAAUAGAU